GACGAACGCUGGCGGCGUGCUUAACACAUGCAAGUCGAACGGAAAGGCCCUGCUUUUGUGGGGUGCUCGAGUGGCGAACGGGUGAGUAACACGUGAGUAACCUGCCCUUGACUUUGGGAUAACUUCAGGAAACUGGGGCUAAUACCGGAUAGGAGCUCCUGCUGCAUGGUGGGGGUUGGAAAGUUUCGGCGGUUGGGGAUGGACUCGCGGCUUAUCAGCUUGUUGGUGGGGUAGUGGCUUACCAAGGCUUUGACGGGUAGCCGGCCUGAGAGGGUGACCGGCCACAUUGGGACUGAGAUACGGCCCAGACUCCUACGGGAGGAAGCAGUGGGGAAUAUUGAACAAUGGGCGGAAGCCUGAUGAAGCAACGCCGCGUGCGGGAUGACGGCCUUCGGGUUGUAAACCGCUUUCGCCUGUGACGAAGCGUGAGUGACGGUAAUGGGUAAAGAAGCACCGGCUAACUACGUG
rnacentral:rRNA from 1 species